AACGAACGCUGGCGGCAGGCCUAACACAUGCAAGUCGAGCGGACCUUUCGGGGUCAGCGGCGGACGGGUGAGUAACGCGUGGGAAUAUGCCCUUCUCUACGGAAUAGUCCUGGGAAACUGGGGGUAAUACCGUAUACGCCCUUUGGGGGAAAGAUUGAUCGGGGAAGGAUUAGCCCGCGUUGGAUUAGGUAGUUGGUGGGGUAAUGGCCUACCAAGCCGACGAUCCAUAGCUGGUUUGAGAGGAUGAUCAGCCACACUGGGACUGAGACACGGCCCAGACUCCUACGGGAGGCAGCAGUGGGGAAUCUUAGACAAUGGGGGCAACCCUGAUCUAGCCAUGCCGCGUGAGUGAUGAAGGCCUUAGGGUUGUAAAGCUCUUUCAGCUGGGAAGAUAAUGACGGUACCAGCAGAAGAAGCCCCGGCUAACUCCGUG
rnacentral:rRNA from 1 species